rnacentral:rRNA from 1 species
UACGGAGGGUGCAAGCGUUAUCCGGAUUCACUGGGUUUAAAGGGAGCGUAGGUGGGUCGGUAAGUCAGUGGUGAAAUCCCCGAGCUUAACUUGGGAACUGCCAUUGAUACUAUCGAUCUUGAAUUCUGUGGAGGUAAGCGGAAUAUAUCAUGUAGCGGUGAAAUGCUUAGAUAUGAUAUAGAACACCGAUAGCGAAGGCAGCUUACUACGCAGACAUUGACACUGAGGCUCGAAAGCGUGGGGAUCAAACAGGAUUAGAUACCCUGGUAGUCCACGCCCUAAACUAUGGAUACUCGACAUCAGCGAUACACUGUUGGUGUCUGAGCGAAAGCAUUAAGUAUCCCACCUGGGAAGUACGUCCGCAAGGAUGAA